ACUCUGAACCAGCCAUGCCGCGUGCAGGAAGACAGCCCUCUGGGUCGUAAACUGCUUUUAUUCGGGAAUAAACCUUUCUACGUGUAGAGAGCUGAAUGUACCGAAGGAAUAAGGAUCGGCUAACUCCGUGCCAGCAGCCGCGGUAAUACGGAGGAUCCAAGCGUUAUCCGGAUUUAUUGGGUUUAAAGGGUGCGUAGGCGGCUUAUUAAGUCAGGGGUGAAAGACGGUGGCUCAACCAUCGCAGUGCCUUUGAUACUGAUGAGCUUGAAUGAACUAGAGGUAGGCGGAAUGUGACAAGUAGCGGUGAAAUGCAUAGAUAUGUCACAGAACACCGAUUGCGAAGGCAGCUUACUAUGGUUUUAUUGACGCUGAGGCACGAAAGCGUGGGGAUCAAACAGGAUUAGAUACCCUGGUAGUCCACGCCCUAAACGAUGAAUACUCGCUGUUAGCGAUACACAGUUAGCGGCUAAGCGAAAGCGUUAAGUAUUCCACCUGGGGAGUACGCCCGCAAGGGUGAAACUCAAAGGAAUUGACGGGGGCCCGCACAAGCGGAGGAGCAUGUGGUUUAAUUCGAUGAUACGCGAGGAACCUUACCCGGGCUUGAAAGUUAGUGAAUGAUUUAGAGAUAGAUCAGUCCGCAAGGACACGAAACUAGGUGCUGCAUGGCUGUCGUCAGCUCGUGCCGUGAGGUGUUGGGUUAAGUCCCGCAACGAGCGCAACCCCUAUGUUUAGUUGCCAGCACGUUAUGGUGGGGACUCUAAACAGACUGCCUGUGCAAACAGAGAGGAAGGAGGGGACGACGUCAAGUCAUCAUGGCCCUUACGUCCGGGGCUACACACGUGCUACAAUGGAUGGUACAGAGGGCAGCAAGCUGGUAACAGCAAGC
rnacentral:rRNA from 1 species